rnacentral:ncRNA from 2 species
GAGCAUCUUCAGGGUCGGGUGUGAUUCCCAACCGGCGGUAAUUUCCUUCUUAGGAAUGAAAGAGCCCGCGAGCCUUUUCCAAGGCAGAUUUGGUGAAAUGCCAAAGCCGACGGUAAAACCGCUUUAAG